CGCUGGCGGCACGCCUAACACAUGCAAGUCGAACGAAGUAGCAAUACUUAGUGGCAGACGGGUGAGUAACAUGUGGGUAUCUGCCCUUUGGCCUGGAAUAACACGAGGAAACUUGUGCUAAUACCGGAUAAGUCUUUACGGAGAAAGCUUUAUGCACCAUUGGAUGAGCCCGCACUUGAUUAGUUUGUUGGUGGGGUAAUGGCCUACCAAGACUGUGAUCAAUAGCUGAUUUGAGAGGAUGAUCAGCCACAUUGGGACUGAGACACGGCCCAAACUCCUACGGGAGGCAGCAGUGGGGAAUCUUGCACAAUGGAGGAAACUCUGAUGCAGCGAUGCCGCGUGAGUGAAGAAGGCCCUUGGGUUGUAAAGCUCUUUCGUCGGGGAAGAAAAUGACUGUACCCGAAUAAGAAGGUCCGGCUAACUUCGUGCCAGCAGCCGCGGUAAUACGAAGGGACCUAGCGUAGUUCGGAAUUACUGGGCUUAAAGAGUUCGUAGGUGGUUGAAAAAGUUGGUGGUGAAAUCCCAGAGCUUAACUCUGGAACUGCCAUCAAAACUUUUCAGCUAGAGUAUGAUAGAGGAAAGCAGAAUUUCUAGUGUAGAGGUGAAAUUCGUAGAUAUUAGAAAGAAUACCAAUUGCGAAGGCAGCUUUCUGGAUCAUUACUGACACUGAGGAACGAAAGCAUGGGUAGCGAAGAGGAUUAGAUACCCUCGUAGUCCAUGCCGUAAACGAUGUGUGUUAGACGUUGGAAAUUUAUUUUCAGUGUCGCAGCGAAAGCGAUAAACACACCGCCUGGGGAGUACGACCGC
rnacentral:rRNA from 1 species